rnacentral:rRNA from 1 species
UACGGAGGGGGCUAGCGUUGUUCGGAAUCACUGGGCGUAAAGCGCGCGUAGGCCGAUUGUUAAGUCGGGGGUGAAAGCCUGGAGCUCAACUCCAGAACUGCCUCCGAUACUGGCAAUCUUGAGUCCGGGAGAGGUGAGUGGAAUUCCCAGUGUAGAGGUGAAAUUCGUAGAUAUUGGGAAGAACACCAGUGGCGAAGGCGGCUCACUGGCCCGGUACUGACGCUGAGGCGCGAAAGCGUGGGGAGCAAACAGG